rnacentral:rRNA from 1 species
GUGGGGAAUCUUGCGCAAUGGGCGAAAGCCUGACGCAGCCAUGCCGCGUGAAUGAUGAAGGUCUUAGGAUUGUAAAAUUCUUUCACCGGGGACGAUAAUGACGGUACCCGGAGAAGAAGCUCCGGCUAACUUCGUGCCAGCAGCCGCGGUAAUACGAAGGGGGCUAGCGUUGCUCGGAAUUACUGGGCGUAAAGGGCACGUAGGCGGACAGCUUAGUCAGAGGUGAAAGCCCAGGGCUCAACCUUGGAAUUGCCUUUGAUACUGGCUGUCUUGAGUUUGGGAGAGGUGAGUGGAACUCCGAGUGUAGAGGUGAAAUUCGUAGAUAUUCGGAAGAACACCAGUGGCGAAGGCGACUCACUGGCCCAAUACUGACGCUGAGGCGCGAAAGCGUGGGGAGCAAACAGGAUUAGAAACCCUUGUAGUCC